rnacentral:rRNA from 1 species
UUGGAGGGCAAGUCUGGUGCCAGCAGCCGCGGUAAUUCCAGCUCCAAUAGCGUAUAUUAAAGUUGUUGCAGUUAAAAAGCUCGUAGUUGAAUUUCGGGACCAAUUUGUUGGUCGUGCCUCGGUACGUACUGGUAUUAUUGGUUUCUACCUUCUGAAGAACCUUGAUGUCAUUAAUUUGGUGUCUUGGGGAAUCAGGACUGUUACUUUGAAAAAAUUAGAGUGUUUAAAGCAAGCAUACGCUUGAAUACAUUAGCAUGGAAUAACGGAAUAGGACGUUUGAUUCUAUUUUGUUGGUUUCUAGGAUCGACGUAAUGAUUAAUAGGGAUAGUUGGGGGCAUUAGUAUUCAAUUGUCAGAGGUGAAAUUCUUGGAUUUAUUGAAGACUAACUACUGCGAAAGCAUUUGCCAAGGAUGUUUUCAUUAAUCAAGAACGAAAGUUAGGGGAUCGAAGACGAUCAGAUACCGUCGUAGUCUUAACCAUAAACUAUGCCGACUAGGGAUCGGAUGAUGUUAAUUUUUUAAUGACUCAUUCGGCGCCUUACGGGAAAC